GGGGCUCCUUUGGGGCAAUGCGUGAUGUGUGCUCUAUGACUUAUCUAGUGCUCUGGAUCUGUUUCUUUGGAGUUGCAUUUGUGAGGGAUUUAGGAUUAAUUGGAGCCCUAGCUCGCCUAAAGAUAAGACCUCGAUAUUCAUCAUACGUGUGGCACAAUGAACACCCUACCACACUACUCGUCCGUUCGUACCUAGGAGCAAGUCCACACGACCCUGUGUGGGCGAACAUUAAAAUUGCCCCCGCACUUCGGGCGUAGCUACGACGGCCCGCACGCCGAUCCAACAACAACUACUCACCCCAUCCGGACACCCCACAUGUGUGGCAUGAAGAAAUUAUGCACUAGCAUUUUUUAUGGCAACUUUAGUUACCGAGGAUGGCAACUUUAUUUCUAAAUCAUGGCAACUUUCUAUUUGGAUCACGAGUUACGGCUUUUUUGGGUNUUUUUUUUUUCUCGGAUGGAAAUUUUAGUUGUAAAAAUGUUAGGACAAUGUUAUUUCGUGCCAUACGUGUGGUACUUAUCAUUUGGCCAAUGUGUAAUGUGUGAUCAAACCAUAGUUGUCAUGUAUAGUCAACCAUAGUUGUCAUGUAUGGUCAACCAUACGUUCCAUGUAUGAUUAACUAGGUGCCACGUGUGUUUGAACCAUAGUGGUCAUGUAUGGUCAACCAUAGUUGGCAUGUGUGAUUAACAAGUUGCCACGUGUGGUCAAACC
rnacentral:lncRNA from 1 species